UACGUAGGGGGCAAGCGUUGUCCGGAUUUAUUGGGCGUAAAGAGCGUGUAGGCGGCCAGACAGGUCCGUUGUGAAAACUGGAGGCUUAACCUUCAGACGUCGAUGGAAACCGUCUGGCUAGAGUCCGGAAGAGGAGAGUGGAAUUCCUGGUGUAGCGGUGAAAUGCGCAGAUAUCAGGAAGAACACCCGUGGCUGAGGCGGCUCUCUAGUACGGUACUGACGCUGAGACGCGAAAGCGUGGGGAGCGAACAGG
rnacentral:rRNA from 1 species